rnacentral:rRNA from 1 species
CUACGUGCCAGCAGCCGCGGUAAUACGGAAGGUCCUGGUGUUAUCCGGAUUUAUUGGGUUUAAAGGGAGCGUAGGCCGCAGAUUAAGUGUGUUGUGAAAUUCAGGCGCCCAACGUCUGACUUGCAGCGCAAACUGGUCUGCUUGAGUUCGCGCAACGCAGGCGGAAUUCGUCGUGUAGCGGUGAAAUGCUUAGAUAUGACGAAGAACUCCGAUUGCGAAGGCAGCUUGCGGGAGCGUUACUGACGCUGAAGCUCGAAAGUGCGGGUAUCGAACAGGAUUAGAUACCCUGGUAGUCCGCACGGUAAACGAUGGAUGCCCGUUUUUGGCUUUUAAAGUCAGAGACCAAGCGAAAGCAUUAAGCAUCCCACCUGGGGAGUACGCCGGCAACGGUGAAACUCAAAGGAAUUGACGGGGGCCCGCACAAGCGGAGGAACAUGUGGUUUAAUUCGAUGAUACGCGAGGAACCUUACCCGGGCUUGAAUUGCC